CCUACGGGUGGCAGCAGUGAGGAAUAUUGGUCAAUGGGCGCGAGCCUGAACCAGCCAAGUAGCGUGAUCGAGACGCCCUUCGCGGUGUAAAGAUCUGUCAGUGGGAACGAAACUUGACGGUACCCACAGAGGAAGCACCGGCUUAAUCGGUGCCAGCAGCCGCGGUAAUACGGGGGGUGCAAGCGUUGUCCGGAUUUAUUGGGCGUAAAGAGUUCGUAGGCGGCACGUAAAGUAUGGUGUUAAAGGCAGCGGCUCAACUUCUGUACGGCACUGGAUACUUGCGGGCUAGAGUGCGGUAGAGGUAGAGGGAAUUCCUGGUGUAGCGGUGAAAUGCUUAGAUAUCAGGAAGAACAUCGGUGGCGUAAGCGCUUUACUAAGCCGUAAUUGACGCUGAGGAACGAAAGCCAGGGUAGCAAAUGGGAUUAGAUACCCCGGUAGUC
rnacentral:rRNA from 1 species